UGGGGAAUUUUGGACAAUGGGGGAAACCCUGAUCUAGCCAUCCCGCGUGUGCGAUGAAGGCAUUCGGGUUGUAAAGCACUUUUGGCAGGAAAGAAACGUCAUGGGUUAAUACCCCGUGAAACUGACGGUACCUGCAGAAUAAGCACCGGCUAACUACGUGCCAGCAGCCGCGGUAAUACGUAGGGUGCAAGCGUUAAUCGGAAUUACUGGGCGUAAAGCGUGCGCAGGCGGUCCGGAAAGAAAGAUGUGAAAUCCCAGAGCUCAACUUUGGAACUGCAUUUUUAACUACCGAGCUAGAGUGUGUCAGAGGGAGGUGGAAUUCCGCGUGUAGCAGUGAAAUGCGUAGAUAUGCGAAGGAACACCGAUGGCGAAGGCAGCCUCCUGGGAUAACACUGACGAUCAUGCACGAAAGCGUGGGGAGCAAACAGG
rnacentral:rRNA from 1 species